rnacentral:misc_RNA from 1 species
UUUCCGUAGGUGAACCUGCGGAAGGAUCAUUACCGAAACAAAAACUAAAACAAGGCUCACCGCACUGCCUCGGCGGUCGGUGAAUCCCUUAUGGCUGGCUCAACUUGAGUUCAUGGUUGCAGACUGGCUCGAAAGCAACGAGUCUUCCUUGCCUCGAAAGGGGCGAGGGAGCACCGUUAAAAAUUUUGAAAACAAGCAAUAGCUAAAAAUUUUGAAAACAAGCAAUACAAUGAACCACAAGACGAAUAAAAACCUCGAGUGGUGGAUCACUCGGCUCGUGGGUCGAUGAAGAACGCAGC